rnacentral:rRNA from 1 species
UUGCACGCUGGCGGCAGGCCUAACACAUGCAAGUCGCACGGUAACAGGAAGAAGCUUGCUUCUUUGCUGACGAGUGGCGGACGGGUGAGUAAUGUCUGGGAAACUGCCUGAUGGAGGGGGAUAACUACUGGAAACGGUAGCUAAUACCGCAUAACGUCGCAAGACCAAAGAGGGGGACCUUCGGGCCUUUUGCCAUCGGAUGUGCCCAGAUGGGAUUAGCUAGUAGGUGGGGUAACGGCUCACCUAGGCGACGAUCCCUAGCUGGUCUGAGAGGAUGACCAGCCACACUGGAACUGAGACACGGUCCAGACUCCUACGGGAGGCAGCAGUGGGGAAUAUUGCACAAUGGGCGCAAGCCUGAUGCAGCCAUGCCGCGUGUAUGAAGAAGGCCUUCGGGUUGUAAAGUACUUUCAGCGGGGAGGAAGGGAGUAAAGUUAAUACCUUUGCUCAUUGACGUUACCCGCAGAAGAAGCACCGGCUAACUCCGUG